GUUUUCAAUGUCCCAGUGACAAUAAUUAAAGCGUCCCCCGGACUCUGAAGACUUAAACUUAAGGGCACUGAUAAUUUUAUUUUAUAAAGAAGGGAGAUUCUGCCCUACAAUUUUAACCACAACCACUGGAAAGAUGUAAAGGUAUUAUUUAACUCAAAAUCACGAUUCGAAUACUAAUCGACUAUACACGUGUAACCAUUGUUCCUUUUUAACUUGUAUUGCAUUUACCAAAAAUAAUAUAGGAAUAACGUCAACAUUUGUAGAAAAAACAGAUAAACCACCAGUACCUAUAUCUACUGCGAUGAGUCUUAGUCAGAACGAGCACAUAACAAUCGUGAGAAAUUUAUUUGGAAUUAUUUAUAAGCGCUGAAAACGAUUUUUGUCAAAUUGAAAUAAUAUAAUAUUUAGAGCUCGUAACCAAAUCUUUAAUAAAUGCAAUCAAAUAACAUAAUUUUGUUUUGUCGAAUUCUUCCCUAAAAUAGAGAUUACUGCAUUGUGUUUUGUUAAUCAUUUAUAGGAGCCGCAGGAACUUAUUUAGAUUUUUCUUUAAGGAGAGCGGUAGUCAGGAUUAAGGUAAAUAUCUACACUGCUACGACAAAAUAAAUGGUACAGCAAUAAUAUCUUCGUCAACUGUAACAAUAUUUGUUCAAUGUUUUAUACGAGAAAAUUGUAAUCAUUAGAUAUGUAUUUCAUAGUAGACAUUUUUUUAUUAAAUGUACACCUACACUUAAUAAAUCCAGAUUUAUAAG